rnacentral:rRNA from 1 species
UACGUAUGGUGCAAGCGUUAUCCGGAUUUACUGGGUGUAAAGGGAGCGCAGGCGGUGCGGCAAGUCUGAUGUGAAAACCCGGGGCUCAACCCCGGUACUGCAUUGGAAACUGUCGUACUAGAGUGUCGGAGGGGUAAGUGGAAUUCCUAGUGUAGCGGUGAAAUGCGUAGAUAUUAGGAGGAACACCAGUGGCGAAGGCGGCUUACUGGACGAUAACUGACGCUGAGGCUCGAAAGCGUGGGGAGCAAACAGG